AGUGAACGCUGGCGGCGUGCCUAAUACAUGCAAGUCGAACGGAGAUUAAAUAGCUUGCUAUUUAAUCUUAGUGGCGCACGGGUGAGUAAUGUAUAGUUAAUCUGCCCCAUAGUGGAGGACAACAGUUAGAAAUGACUGCUAAUACUCCAUACUCCCUCUUAUCAUAAGUUAAGUCGGGAAAGUUUUUCGCUAUGGGAUGAGACUAUAUCGUAUCAGUUAGUUGGUAAGGUAAUGGCUUACCAAGGCUAUGACGCGUAACUGGUCUGAGAGGAUGAUCAGUCACAUUGGAACUGAGACACGGUCCAAACUCCUACGGGAGGCAGCAGUAGGGAAUAUUGCGCAAUGGGGGAAACCCUGACGCAGCAACGCCGCGUGGAGGAUGACACUUUUCGGAGCGUAAACUCCUUUUGUUAGGGAA
rnacentral:rRNA from 1 species